ensembl:snRNA U6 U6 spliceosomal RNA
GUGCUUGCUUCGGCAGCACGUACACUAAAAUUGGAAUGAUACAGAGAAGAUUAGCAUGGUCCCUGCACGAGGACGACACACAAAUUUGUGAAGCAUUCCGUAUUUAC